AUGAGCCCCAACCUCUUUUGUGUGAUUCUUUGUCUGCUGGUGGCAGCAGGUCCCAUGGAUGCAGCCGUCACCCAGAAGCCAAGAUACCAUAUUAUACGAGCAGGAAACAAGAUGGUCCUGGAAUGUUCUCAGCAUAUGAACCAUUUGGGAAUGUUCUGGUAUCGGCAAGAUCCGGGACAGGGGCCAAGGCUGAUCCAUUAUUCAAAUGGCGUUGGCAGCACUGGCGAAGGGGAUGUCACGGAGGGGUACAGUGCCUCCCGAAACAAGAACGAACAUUUCCCCCUGACCCUGGCGUCGGCCAGCACCAACCAGACCUCCUUGUACCUCUGUGCCAGCAGUUUAUCCACAGCACUGCACAGUCAGCUGCUCUCCGCACAAAAAGCUCAGCCACAGGCGUGA